rnacentral:rRNA from 1 species
UUUUCCGCAAUGGGCGAGAGCCUGACGGAGCAACGCCGCGUGAGGGAUGAAGGCCUCUGGGCUGUAAACCUCUUUUAUCAAGGAAGAAGAUCUGACGGUACUUGAUGAAUAAGCCACGGCUAAUUCCGUGCCAGCAGCCGCGGUAAUACGGGAGUGGCAAGCGUUAUCCGGAAUUAUUGGGCGUAAAGNGUCCGCAGGCGGCCCUUCAAGUCUGCUGUUAAAAAGUGGAGC